rnacentral:rRNA from 1 species
UACGGGGGGGGGCAAGCGUUGUUCGGAAUUAUUGGGCGUAAAGGGCUCGUAGGCGGUUUGUCGCGUCGGGAGUGAAAACACCGGGCUUAACUCGGUGCUUGCUUUCGAUACGGGCAGACUAGAGGCAUGCAGGGGAGAACGGAAUUCCUGGUGUAGCAGUGAAAUGCGUAGAUAUGCGGAGGAACACCGAUGGCGAAGGCAAUCCCCUGGACCUGUACUGGACGCUGAGGAGCGAAAGCGUGGGGAGCGAACAGG